GCCGGGGUGGCCGAGUGGUUCAAGGCGGUGGGCUCGAGACCCACUGGGGGUUUCCCCGCGCGGGUUCGAAUCCCGCCCCCGGCGCCA
rnacentral:tRNA from 1 species